rnacentral:rRNA from 1 species
CCUACGGGUGGCUGCAGUGGGGAAUAUUGGACAAUGGGGGGAACCCUGAUCUAGCCAUGCCGCGUGUGUGAAGAAGGCCCUCGGGUUGUAAAGCACUUUCAGUGAGGAAGAACGCCUGGUGGUUAAUACCCAUCAGGAAAGACAUCACUCACAGAAGAAGCACCGGCUAACUCCGUGCCAGCAGCCGCGGUAAUACGGAGGGUGCGAGCGUUAAUCGGAAUUACUGGGCGUAAAGCGCGCGUAGGUGGCUUGAUAAGCCGGUUGUGAAAGCCCCGGGCUCAACCUGGGAACGGCAUCCGGAACUGUCAAGCUAGAGUGCAGGAGAGGAAGGUAGAAUUCCCGGUGUAGCGGUGAAAUGCGUAGAGAUCGGGAGGAAUACCAGUGGCGAAGGCGGCCUUCUGGACUGACACUGACACUGAGGUGCGAAAGCGUGGGUAGCAAACAGGAUUAGAUACCCUUGUAGUC